AAGGUACAAUAAGUAAUAGCUUAAGCACUUGUGCUUAAGAGGAAAGUCUGGGCUGCUGUGAAGCAUGGUUCCAUCUAACUGAUGGCUAGGGUGACCUAAGGGAAAGUGCAACAGAAAGUAAACUACCUUAAGUCUUUUAGAUUUAAGGAAAAGGUGAAACGGUGGGGUAAAAGCCUACCAAUGUUUUGAGUAAUCUUAACAGUUAUGUAAACCCAACUAGGCAGCAAGAAGAGGUGGUAUAAGCUUCACGAUAAUAGCUCUUCGCUAGAUUGAUUUAGU
rnacentral:RNase_P_RNA from 1 species